rnacentral:lncRNA from 1 species
GGAGUCACUAGAAAUUCGCUUUCCACGAAGACGGUCCCACUCCCCUCCGACACGGACGGAGACCGGGACUCCGCCUGCAACUCCGACAUCGACUGAGAUUCCGCCUGCAACUCCGACAUCGACUGAGAUUCCGCCUGCAACUCCGACAUCGACUGAGACUCCGCCUGAAACUCCGACAUCGACUGGUGGCUCCUCGGAAGCUCCGAAUUCGCGAACCUCGCCGCCUCUGUCUGGAUCUGGGCCGCGCUCAGGGACCUUCCCCCCGAAAUCUCAGGCGGGUUGUCGGGGAAAUUAAACUUGGCAGUGUGGCCGCGCAAGCAAAAGAGGGCCGCGUCGAAGGCACGCGCUGCCUUUUCGGGCGCGUCGUAGGAUCCCAACCAGAUUCGCUCCCGGCUGUUGGGGAGGCGGAUUUCCGACACCCAUUUGCCCCACUUGCGCUUGCGGACGCCCUUGUACUUGAUGUCGUUUCGCUCGGAGGGCUUCCCAAUCGUCUGCUUCACCAUGGACGACGACG